rnacentral:rRNA from 1 species
UACGUAGGUGGCAAGCGUUGUCCGGAUUUACUGGGCGUAAAGAGCGCGCAGGCGGCUGGUCAAGUCCGAUGUGAAAUCUCCCGGCUUAACUGGGAAACUGCAUCGGAAACUGAUCGGCUUGAAGGUGGGAGAAGGUAGUGGAAUUCCCGGUGUAGUGGUGAAAUGCGUAGAUAUCGGGAGGAACACCAGUGGCGAAGGCGACUACCUGGCCCAUUCUUGACGCUGAGGCGCGAAAGCUAGGGGAGCAAACAGG